UACGGAGGGGGCUAGCGUUGUUCGGAAUUACUGGGCGUAAAGCGCGCGUAGGUGGCCACAUAAGUCCGUUGUGAAAGUCAAAGGCUCAACCUUUGAAAGCCGAUGGAUACUGUGUGGCUAGAGUACGGAAGAGGCGAGUGGAAUUCCUGGUGUAGCGGUGGAAUGCGCAGAUAUCAGGAGGAACACCAAUAGCGAAGGCAGCUCGCUGGGACGUUACUGACACUGAGGCGCGAAAGCGUGGGGAGCGAACAGG
rnacentral:rRNA from 1 species